AUUGCUUCUCGGCUUUUUGACUAAGAUCUAGUAUAGUACCUGUUCUUAUCAGUUUAAUAUCUGAUACAUCCUCUAUCCAAGGAUAAUAUAUUAAAUGGGUUUUUGGAGCAGGGAGGGGGAAUAGGAGCUUGCUCUGUCUACUCCACACGUCAACCUGGUAUUGCCGUAUGUAAAAUAUUGGUGCACCCCCU